UACGUAGGGACCAAGCGUUGUUCGGAUUUACUGGGCGUAAAGGGCGCGUAGGCGGCUUAACAAGUCACUUGUGAAAUCUCCGGGCUUAACUCGGAACGGCCAAGUGAAACUGUCAAGCUAGAGUGCAGAAGGGGCAAUCGGAAUUCUUGGUGUAGCGGUGAAAUGCGUAGAUAUCUGGAGGAACACCGGUGGCGAAGGCGGCAUCCUGGACCGACACUGACACUGAGGAGCGAAAGCCAGGGGAGCAAACGGG
rnacentral:rRNA from 1 species